CAAAAUGGAUUGAUACAAUGUCUGUGUGGCAAUGUAAGAAGUGUGUUUUUAGUGACGUUAGAUAAUAUUUUGAAAUUACACAGUAUAUAGAGUGCUGGAGCACUGCUGCUACAGGAAAAACAGUGAUGUUACAGGCUUUUAAACACGGAGAAUUGUUAUGGCAACAAACAGUAGUACCAGAUACCAGAUAAAGUUGUGUACUACAGUUUUUAGUCUGCUGUCAACAAGCAAAGACCGGCAGACAAUAUUCGAAGUUGAUGUCCACUGGCAACACAGGCAAGUCAGUGAUAGUGUGGUACAGUCCGUACAGACUAAAUGCGGGUUCACACGUCAAUUUGAGAGUGGCAAUGGUACCCGCCAGAGCAGGGCUUCUCAACUUUUUAUUUUUAUUUUUUUAUUUUUUUAAGAACCCCUUGAGUUAUAAGACCAUCUACCAGAAGCACCAGUAAUCUGACAUAGAAUGUUAAUUUAGUGACUGACAUUAACUCAAUGUGCAGUGGUACUGUAAUUCAUAUUAUUGACCGACACUAAAUCGGUAUGCAAUGGCACUGCAAAGGAUAUUAUUAGAUUUAAGUAACCGUGGAAGUCUUGUGAACCCUUAGGGCAGUGGUUCUUAACCUUAUUUUAGCAGCGACCCAAAAUCUUGCACAUAUCAACCAUCGCGACCCAAGCCUACAUAGAUAUACAAAUUGUCGUCCACUCUGCUCCCUCCUAUACGCCCUCCACCUCCGCCAACAAUUAAGGUGGGAAUGGGAGGUUCUUCACACUUCAAAUAGAUUUACUGCUUUGGAGUUUUUAUUUAAUCAUGGUCUGCUUAGAAUUCUAAAACAAUGCAUCAUGAAUUUUAAUUAUUACAAUAUAUAAUUAUAAUAUAUUUGUAGUUGGAAAAUUAUUAUUUUCUGCAAAACCUUAGCGAGCCAAUAAAAUGGCUUGGCUUUGGACUUUGGGUCCUAGGGGUUCGCAAGCAGCCUGGCUGAGACCCGAGACGAGUUAUACAGUAAGAAAAGCCUUCUCUGCAGUGUCUUGUUGAGGGUGAGGGUUGAAUACGUGUGAUGAUUUAAUUCGAUCGCAGUUGUGCGUAGUCUUUUUGAUAGACAUUUUGUUGGGUAGCUGUUUGUUUACAUUCAUUUCAGGCCAACCAGCUGGUACUUCCCAGCCAUAUGUGACCGUGCUCCGUCUCUGUCGGUUCGUGAACUCGCCUCAACUGGGCUAAUCACACGUACUCAGCCGCUUACCUCCUCCUGGUACUUUCCAAGUGUAUGUGAAGGAUGCUGAGAAGCGUUCUACUAAGGAGAAGAAGCGGGCCAAGUCGUCUGGUGGUUCCAGUGAGAAGCGUUCUAGCCGGCAGGAGCCGGCCUCUGAGGCCCCUUGGGCCAGCAGUUUUGUCUGUGAUGCCAUGAAACACCCAAGGGGAUUCCUGAGUGAUACUUCAGUGUUUCUAAUCCUGUGCAAUGUAACCAUCUUACAGCAAGUGAAGCCAUUAUUGUAGGGGGCUCUACAGUCUGCUGAAUCAGACCUCACAUCUUAGAAUCUCUUCUUGUGGCUGGCACACGAGAGCAACCAUCAGUCUCUCUUUGAGCCUUCUGACAUACAAGGAAGUAGGUAAGCAGAGCAGCACACUUGUCUAUAUACCAUGCUGUCACCUGCAUUAAGCAAGUUUCUAAAGGGAGUUAGUAGUAAUUUUUAGUAUAAAAAUAAUCACUUAAAAUAUAAAGGAAUGUAGUUAAGUAUCCAAGAUUUAAAAGUGUUAAGUGAUUGUAGGUAUAUAAUAAUGCAGAAAGACAACUCUGAAUUACUAAACUAGAUAUUUUAACUGCCAUGUGAUGUAUUUGUAAAAACCAGGAGAUGCAUGCUUGUUGUGCUUUUUGAACUAAAUUAUUUGAUUAUUUAAAACAUGCAUGCCUCUUCCUCCCUCCUAUAUUAAAAAACAUUACAUAUGAA
rnacentral:lncRNA from 1 species